GCUGUCCUGGACCUACCAGCAGCAAAGAUGCAGAUGCUCUGCUCUGCCUGUAACAUCGGGGUAAAGUCAAAGUGGUUAUUUCUACACUCAGUAUUCAGAAAACAGUAAACAACAAGAAUGGAUAAUAGCCUGACAUUU
ensembl:snoRNA